rnacentral:lncRNA from 1 species
ACUGGUGUGUUGUAUGGACCCUUCCAGUACUGACUCUGCAGGCGGACCCGGGGAGACGCUGGAGGCAGGGAGUGCUGUGGCUGUAUGGAAAACCACGCCAGGGUUAUGGAUGGAUCCUGGCACCAGGAGCAGGUCCAGCCCCAAAGCACCAGAGCUGCGGGACAUGUGAGGCUGCGGCAGGAGCACCAGCAGGAGAGGAUGAGGGGAUGGGACCCUACACUUUGCACUUGCUGCCAUUCCUGA